rnacentral:rRNA from 1 species
CCAAUAGCGUAUAUUAAAGUUGUUGCAGUUAAAAAGCUCGUAGUUGAAUUUCGGGGUCAGUAGGUUGGUCAUGCCACUGGUAUGUACUGGUCUCACUGAUUCCUCCUUCCUGAUGAGCCGUAAUGCCAUUAAUUUGGUGUUGCGAGGAAUCUGGACUGUUACUUUGAAAAAAUUAGAGUGUUUAAAGCAAGCUAACGCUUGAAUACAUUAGCAUGGAAUAAUGAAAUAGGACGUUCGAUCCUAUUUUGUUGGUUUCUAGGAUUGACGUAAUGAUUAAUAG